rnacentral:rRNA from 1 species
GAUGAACGCUAGCGGCAGGCUUAAUACAUGCAAGACGAACGGUAACUGUUGUAGCAAUACAAUAGCUAGAGUGUCGUACGGGUGCGUAACACGUAUGCAACCUACCUUGUACAGGCGGAUAGCGUCGGGGAAACUCGAAUUAACCCGCCAUGAGAUCAUAGUGUGGCAUCACAUAGUGAUUAAAACUCAGGUGGUACAAGAUGGGCAUGCGUCGAUUAGUUAGUUGGCAGUGUAAAGGACUACCAAGACGAUGAUCAGGUAGGGACCUGAGAGGGUGACUCCCCCACACUGGCACUGAGAUACGGGCCAGACUCC